rnacentral:rRNA from 1 species
GAUGAACGCUGGCGGCGUGCCUAAUACAUGCAAGUCGAGCGAACGGACGAGAAGCUUGCUUCUCUGAUGUUAGCGGCGGACGGGUGAGUAACACGUGGAUAACCUACCUAUAAGACUGGGAUAACUUCGGGAAACCGGAGCUAAUACCGGAUAAUAUUUUGAACCGCAUGGUUCAAAAGUGAAAGACGGUCUUGCUGUCGCUUAUAGAUGGAUCCGCGCUGCAUUAGCUAGUUGGUAAGGUAACGGCUUACCAAGGCAACGAUGCAUAGCCGACCUGAGAGGGUGAUCGGCCACACUGGAACUGAGACACGGUCCAGACUCCUACGGGAGGCAGCAGUAGGGAAUCUUCCGCAAUGGGCGAAAGCCUGACGGAGCAACGCCGCGUGAGUGAUGAAGGUCUUCGGAUCGUAAAACUCUGUUAUUAGGGAAGAACAUAUGUGUAAGUAACUGUGCACAUCCUGACGGUACCUAAUCAGAAAGCCACGGCUAACUACGUG